rnacentral:ncRNA from 2 species
AUUAAAUAGUGGUAACUAGGUGCCUUUCAGAAACUUUGGAAGGAGAAUAGGGAAUCAGGUGUAAAUCCUGAACGGGCCCGCCACUGUGACUGGUAGAAAGCAGUUGAUAGUUGACAGUUGACAGUAAAACCAGAUAGAUACUUUCAAAUUGAAUGCAGAGAUCUAUCAUAGGUUUACAACCAGCCUUGAUUUGUAGGCUGGGUGAGAUAGUUAAAAGUUAACAGUCAAAAGAUAAUUAAUUGUUAAUUGCUAAAGGAUGAUAAGACCACUUGGAUAUUAAUUGUCUAGGGAAGGUUAAGUCCUUAUCGCCAGAAGUCAGGAGACCUGCCUAAUUACCAAGCCUACA